rnacentral:rRNA from 1 species
CCUACGGGAGGCAGCAGUGGGGAAUUUUGGACAAUGGGCGCAAGCCUGAUCCAGCAAUGCCGCGUGAGUGAAGAAGGCCUUCGGGUUGUAAAGCUCUUUUGUCAGGGAAGAAACGGUGGGGGCUAAUAUCUCUUGCUAAUGACGGUACCUGAAGAAUAAGCACCGGCUAACUACGUGCCAGCAGCCGCGGUAAUACGUAGGGUGCAAGCGUUAAUCGGAAUUACUGGGCGUAAAGCGUGCGCAGGCGGUUUUGUAAGUUUGUCGUGAAAUCCCCGGGCUCAACCUGGGAAUGGCGAUGAAGACUGCAAGGCUAGAAUCUGGCAGAGGGGGGUAGAAUUCCACGUGUAGCAGUGAAAUGCGUAGAGAUGUGGAGGAACACCGGUGGCGAAGGCAGCCCCCUGGGUCAAGAUUGACGCUCAUGCACGAAAGCGUGGGGAGCAAACAGGAUUAGAUACCCUGGUAGUCCACGCCCUAAACGAUGUCUACUAGUUGUCGGGUUUUAAUUAACUUGGUAACGCAGCUAACGCGUGAAGUAGACCGCCUGGGGAAUCGGUGCAAGNUUAAAACUCAAAUGAAUUGACGGCUGAAGAGNGCGAGACGACGACGAGGGAGAGG